rnacentral:misc_RNA from 1 species
UUUCCGUAGGUGAACCUGCGGAAGGAUCAUUAACGAGUUAGGGUCUUCUAGGCCCGACCUCCCAACCCUUUGUUUACUGAACCAUUGUUUCCUCGGUGUGUCCGUCUUACGACUGCCGGGGGAUCUCCGCGAGGCGCCCCCUGGCCAGCGCCCACCGAUAGCCCAACCUUUAAAACCCUUUGUGAAUCGUGUCUUAUGUCUAAAUUUAUGAUUAAACAAUCAAAACAAAGCUUUCAACAACGGAUCUCUUGGUUCUG